GGUAACAUACCAUGAGUGAACUUUCUGUCUCCCUGUGGUUUGCUGGAGCCAUUUAACUCCAGAACAACUUGCAGACACAGUCAUCUUGUGUUUCAGUAAAUUGAUAUUGGUCAUCAUGGUUCUUUUUUAUCUUAGUAAACAUUCAGAUCUCUCCAUUCCUAUUCGUGAAGAGGUAAAGUGCUUAGUCUCCCUACCUUGAGCAACAGUUUAA